GGUUAGUAUGGCAUAGUGGUUUGAGUGUUGGACUACAACUCUGCAGUCUAGGGUUCAAAUCCCUGUUUAGCCA